rnacentral:rRNA from 1 species
UACGGGGGGGGCAAGCGUUGUUCGGAAUUACUGGGCGUAAAGGGCUCGUAGGUGGCCAACUAAGUCAGACGUGAAAUCCCUCGGCUUAACCGGGGAACUGCGUCUGAUACUGGAUGGCUUGAGUUUGGGAGAGGGAUGCGGAAUUCCAGGUGUAGCGGUGAAAUGCGUAGAUAUCUGGAGGAACACCGGUGGCGAAGGCGGCAUCCUGGACCACGACUGACGCUGAGGAGCGAAAGCCAGGGGAGCAAACGGG